GGUGGCUCAGUGGUAGAGCGCUUACCUUGCAUGCAUGAGGCCCUGGAUUCGAUCCUCAGCACCA
rnacentral:tRNA from 1 species